rnacentral:rRNA from 1 species
GAACGGCUAAAUGAGGACUAACCUGUCUCCUUUGACUAAUCAGUGAAACUGAUCUUUCGGUACAAAAGCCGAAAUAAACACAUAAGACGAGAAGACCCUGUGGAGCUUUAAAUUACAACCAAAACAUGCUAACACAGCAUACCAAAACAUGGCCAAAAAUUUUAAGUUGGGGCGACUUCGGAACCAAACAAAACUUCCGAGAAUAAAGAAUAUUCCUCUUACCGAGACCCACAAGUCAAAGCAAAAAUUGACCCAGUACCACUGACCAACGAACCAAGUUACCCCAGGGAUAACAGCGCUAUCUUCUUCAAGAGUCCAUAUCGACAAGAAGGUUUACGACCUCGAUGUUGGAUCAGGACACCCAAAUGGUGCAGCAGCUAUUAAAGGUUCGUUUGUUCAACGAUUAACAGUCCU